UCUUCCUCUCAUGAUCUUCCUAAAACGGCCUACGGCCGUCGCCAGGCUGCCUGCUGCCGCAAUCCGCUGCUCACGGUGCUCUAGCACGCGCCUCGCCACCCCUCACCACCGUCCCGACCAUACCUCUAAAUUUCCUUUGGAGGUUCCGAUGAAGAUCGGAUCGAUCAUCAGUGAAACAGAUUUAUUCGCCGCCGCCGCCAACCCUCCCGGCGACCACCUUAUUUACCGCCUUGCCUACCCGAGCGUCGUUUGGAUCUGCCGCGAUUCACGUCGAUCGCUGCCGCCGUUCCGCGUGAAGACGCAUAGAUCCCUGCCUGCGAGAGCAUGUCAUCGUCGAGAUACAAGGGGCGGCCGGUCGCCGAUGCCGACGGCGCCAUCGCUAGGUACGCAUGGUCGUCCAACGGAGGGUUUCAAGCUGGUUCGCCUCCCAAAGUUGUCGUCCAAUCUCGUCCCAAGGAAAGAUAUAUGCGGUCUGUUUUACCACAAGUUUCGCCUCACCAGAGGUGCUAGAGAUCGUACAGCAACAGGGGGUGGAAGUGGCACCACCAAGGUCGAUUGCCAAAUGUCCAGCAAGCACACCCGACACCUUUUAUACGUACUACCAUCUGGUAGAAUGUGGCCCGGAGAUCCUGGUGGUCGUUCUAAGCCACAACUACAAGAAGAUUUUAGUUUACAGACUAGCUGACCUUAUGCUGGGAAGGUUUGUGCCAAUGACAUGCAUCGGCGGCAACGCCCUCUUCAUCGAAGGGAGGACGCUGUGCGUCAGUUCCAAAGCGUUUCCUACCAUUGUGGGUGACACCAUCGUCUUCCUACCAUUGUGGAUUUUAGUUUACCAUUGUGGGUCAUAAUCGUUUCUUUCCAGGGAACAUUUUGUGCUUCUAUGCAUGUAGGAACAAGGGACAGAUAGUGUUUCGGAGGAAGCAGAACAAGUGGCGGGUCAACGGAAAGUGGCGAAUUGGGGCAUGAACGGCUCUUGUACCAUGCAUGGUGUAUUGGUGGUGGUGCCUGCUGUUCCUUGUUCUUCAACAACUUUAUCUCAGUGUUGAAUGAUUAUGCCGGUGGCAUUUCAUAUUUAGCUAGGUACUCUUUCAAGUUCAAACAAGUAAUUUGGUUAUUAUAAUUGA